AAUCGAAGCGAUGCACCUCCUCCCGCAGAGCUUCGAUAUGCGAGCGACCUUUCCUCCUCCCGAGUUCGCUUGCGGGAUCAGCGCUACUCCUCCUCCCGGAAUGCUGAUCGGUUCUUUUGGAAAAGCCUGCCGCACCUCCUCCCGCGGCAGGCUUUUUCGUUUC
rnacentral:sRNA from 1 species